GUCCAGGUCCCCCACGACCCUGCAAGAUAAGUAAAUGUAAUCCGUAUCCUUAGUAUUUUAAUCUUACAAUGAAAUCUGGCAUUUGAAACAACUACAAGGACUCAAAGCUGAAAAACAAUGAAAUGGCACAAGAGAUAAAGCAUAUCCAGGAAAUGUAGUAAUUAUGUAGCAUAUAUACAAGUGUCACCAAGUAAAGGGGGGAAAUACUAAUUUCAUCAAUUCUGCUUGCUCAAUCUGCCUUUAAGCCAGCAUUUAACAUCAACCUGCCUCCAGCAUAACUCCAGAAAAAUCUACACUAACCUUAAGAUCACUGACAGAGCUAGCAACCUAUACUUAUUUACAUAUCAACAAUCAAAGUAUCAAGCAUUUGAGUGAUCUGCCGUAUUGUGGCAUAAUUACUUCAUAUUUAUUUGUUGUUGAAAUUAAUUCCAGAUGAUCAUGAUGCACCUGUAGCCUCCACUGGUGCAUCAGUUCAUGACCAUGAUGGCACCACACUCUAAUCCCAAAUUUCAUAUUUUCUUCUACAAAGUACAUUAACAUUUGAUAGAAGAAGGGACAUGUUACUUCAUAUUCAUUUGUUGCGAUGAAUUCCUAAUAAUCUAUGAAAUUAGUAG
rnacentral:misc_RNA from 1 species